rnacentral:rRNA from 1 species
CGCGUAGGUGGGGAAGUACGUCAGAUGUGAAAGUCCUGGGCUUAACCUGGGGAUUGCAUCUGAGACUGCUUUUCUGGAGUGAAGUAGAGGGUGGCGGAAUUUCCGGUGUAGCGGUGAAAUGCGUAGAUAUCGGAAAGAACACCAGUGGCGAAGGCGGCCACCUGGACUUUAACUGACACUGAGGCGCGAAAGCGUGGGGAGCGAACA